GAUGAACGCUAGCGGCAGGCCUAAUACAUGCAAGUCGAACGGGCUUAUGUUUUUCGGAAUAUGAGUUAGUGGCGCACGGGUGAGUAACACGUACAUAACCUACCUUCAAGAGGGGGAUAGCCUUGGGAAACUGAGAGUAAUACCCCAUAGUAUCAAGUUGCGGCAUCGUGAGUUGAUUAAAGCUGAGGUGCUUGAAGAUGGAUGUGCGUCUGAUUAGCUAGUUGGUGAGGUAACGGCUCACCAAGGCGACGAUCAGUAGGGGGCGUGAGAGCGUGGCCCCCCACACGGGUACUGAGACACGGACCCGACUCCUACGGGAGGCAGCAGUAAGGAAUAUUGGUCAAUGGAGGGAACUCUGAACCAGCCAUGCCGCGUGAAGGAUGACGGCCCUCUGGGUUGUAAACUUCUUUUGGAUGGGGCGAAAAAACGGGAUUUAUCCUGGACUGACGGUACCAUCAGAAUAAGCACCGGCUAACUCCGUGCCAG
rnacentral:rRNA from 1 species